rnacentral:rRNA from 1 species
AUUGAACGCUGGCGGAAUGCUUUACACAUGCAAGUCGAACGGCAGCACGGACUUCGGUCUGGUGGCGAGUGGCGAACGGGUGAGUAAUGUAUCGGAACGUGCCCAGGCGUGGGGGAUAACGUAGUGAAAAUUACGCUAAUACCGCAUACGAGCUAUGGAUGAAAGCGGGGGAUCGCAAGAACUCGCGCGAUUGGAGCGGCCGAUAUCAGAUUAGGUAGUUGGUGGGGUACAGGGCCACCGAGCCAACGAUCUGUAGCUGGUCUGAGAGGACGACCAGCCACACUGGAACUGAGACACGGUCCAGACUCCUACGGGAGGCAGCAGUGGGGAAUUUUGGACAAUGGGCGAAAGCCUGAUCCAGCCAUUCCGCGUGCAGGAUGAAGGCCCUCGGGUUGUAAACUGCUUUUGUACAGAACGAAAAGGUUUCUACUAAUACUAGGAGCUCAUGACGGUACUGUAAGAAUAAGCACCGGCUAACUACGUGCCAGCCGCCGCCGUAA